rnacentral:lncRNA from 1 species
AUGCUACCAGAGCCUCCCCAGGAAUUAAGCCGUGGAGCCGCCAGGAAGAGGCGCUCAGGGAGGCGACGCAGCCGCAUCCACUUUUCUCAGCCGCCAUUUCCCCGGCCCCUCCACCCACUUGUCCCUGAUUGGGUGGGCCGCUGCACGCUCGCGCUGGCAUUGGCCAGGACUCGGGGUAGGCGGAGACAGAUUUACCUCGGCCGGAGCCGCGGGAAGGUCUUUCUGCGCUCCGCUCGCGGCGCGCGGAGGCUGUGGAGCGCGGCGGUGGACGGUUCCCUGUCAAACAUUUGAUUGAACAGGAGAUCUGUAGUACAAAUUUCAAACUAUUUGAUAAAAAAGUGAAAGAAUUGAAUGAACGCAUUGGGAAGACACAGUGCAGGAGAAAACAUGAAGCAAUAGCUGGUGAACUCUUUGUAAGUGUCUAAUUUCACUUGAUUUCAUUUGAGUCCUUUUAAAAAGUGGAAUUUGAUGUUAUUUUAUGUAUUUUGAAAGGCAAACAAUAAAGCAAGACCCAAAUUUGAUUCUUCACCACAGGUGUAAUUUAAGACAUAUAGUCGGUAAUGUAGAGUUUAUUAUAAGCUAGUAAUAUUAGCCCUUGAGAAACACACUCAGAACUAUCACACAUUUUGUGUCAAUUGAAAUGUUUAAUAUAUAAAUAGUCUUUUCAUUCUAACAAUAUCCUUUUUAGGGCUUGUAUAACAUAUUUGAAGCUCUUGUAGAUUUUUUUUACUGUUGUUGGGUUACUUGCUGAUGACUUUCAUGGUUUUAUCUGUUCUUGAAUAUCAUACAAGUAUAAAAUCUGCUUUAAAUCUUUUGCUUGUACAGUCAUCCCCUUCAUAUCCUUGGUUUCUGCAUCUUUAUGUUCAACUAAAUUUGCUUUGAAAAUACUCAGAAAAAAAAAUAUGUCGAACAUAUAUAGCCUUUUUUUCUUGUCAUUAUUCUGUAAUUAUGAUCUAACAACUAUGUACACAGCAUUUAUUCUGCAUUAGGUAUAAGUAACCUAAAGAUGACUUAAAUUGCACAGGAGGCUAUGUACAGGAUAUACACAAUGUUAUGGCAUUAUAUAUAAGGACUUCAGCAGCAUCCAUAAAUUUUGGUAUCUGAAAGAUUUGGAACAAUCCCCUGUGGAUACCAAGGGAUGGAUGUGCAAGAAUUUUUAGUUUGUUUAUUUUUUGGGUCCCGGGAAUUGAGCCCAAGACUUCACGUUUGCCAGGCAGGCCCUGAGCUGCUGAGCUAUAUCCCCGGCCCUGAAUUUUUAGUUGAUGUUGAGUGUUGUGGUGUACACUUGUAAUCCCAGCACUGUGGGAGGCAGUAACAGGAGGCUUGCAAGUUCAAGCACAGCUUGGGCAACUUGAUUGGUGAUUUCACAAAACAGUCUCAAAAGUAAAGGACUGGGAAUGUAGCUUAGCACAGAGGCCCUGGGUUGAAUUACAGGUACCACACACACACACACACAAAGAGACCAAAAGAUAAAGAAAUUCUCACUUAUUGGCGUAGAUGCUUAAAUCUAACAAGACAAUUCUGGCAAAUAAGUUUUCCUCUACCUCUCCAUGUUAUUUAAUACUCUGGUUUGAUGUUUACUUAUUUUUCUGUCUUCCAGACAAGAAUAGCAAGACUUCAAAGACGUGUUAAAGCAAUCUUAGCAUUUCAAAGGAAAUAUUUGGAAUCAAAUACAUUUUCCAGUAAUACCCCCUUUAAGGUUGGUAUAAACACAGGAGUUUGAAUAAUCUGGUUGACUCAUAGUAGAAACAGUUGGAUUAUAGAAAUAAAUGUUUUUCCAAACUAGGAUAGACAUCUUUAAAGGACAAUACAUUUCGAAUGUUUUCAUGAAUCUGUUUCUAGAGAAGAUACUCUUAGGCAUUUUAAAGUCACUGGCUUGUGUCUCUUUAACAAAAGAAGUAGAAAGGGACUUGGUGAUUGCCUAGAUUGUUCACUCAGCGCUUUUAACGUGAAAAGCAAAGUUGAGUUUUAUAGAGUAGAUUUCUAUUCUCAGCACCUAGAUUUUAUCAUAGUUACUUUUUCAUGUUCAUCCCUGCUAUGCCAUCUUGUAUUUGGUCUAAAUCUGCAAUAUAUUUUUGGGGUUUUGUUUCUAUCUAUGCAUGUGCACUUGUUUGUUUGUGCUAGUGGGGAUUAAACCCAGAGACUUCACAUUUAGCUGUAUUCCCAGCCCUUAUAAUUUUGAAACAGGAUCUUACUAAGUUCCGAAGUUGGGUUCAGCUUUCACUCUUCAUGCCUCAACUGCCAGAGUGUUGGGAUUUACAAACACACCACAGCCUACCACAUAUACACACACACACACACACACACACACACACACACACAUACAUACUUUUUUGGGGGCGGAGGGCAGACAGGGUCUUGUUAUGUAGUUGAGGCUGGCUGCGAGCUCACUUUGUCGCCCAGGCUGGUCUCAAACUACUGAUCAUCCUCCUGCCUCAGCCUCCCGAGUGCUGGGAUUACAGGGGUGUGACACCAUGCCCAGUCCUGUUUAUAUUUUAUAUACAAAAUUUAUAUAAUCUUCCAUUCAUGUUCACUUUAUUUUUUUCUUGCAGUGUGUUUGUUAGUCUUUGGUAUCAGAUUUAUGUCUUCUCUGUUUGUAUAAAAUUUUUGUUCCUUAAAUGUUUAGUAGAAUCAAUCUGAAAACUGGGUUUCAGCUCCAGAAAACUGGAGCUUUAUUUUGUAAAGAGAUUUUUACUUAAAAAUUUAUUUUUUAAAUUAGUUUUUUGAGACAGGAUCUCACUAUGUGGCUGGCCAUGAACUCAUGAUCCUCCUGCCAUAAUCUCCUGAGUGCUGAGAUUACAGACAUGGCAUUUCCUUCCUUCCUUCCUUCCUUCCUUUAUUUAUUUAUUUAUUCAUUUAUAAGACAGGUUCUCACUAUGUAGUCCAAGACAGCUUUGAACUCACCAGGUGGCUCCAGCUGGACACAAAUUCAUAAUCAUCUUGCCUCAGCCUCCUGAGUGCUGAGAUUAUAGGCGUGUACCACCAUGCCCUGCUUCUGCACUAUUAUUUAAAAGUGCUUGUGUUUAUCUUCCAAGUAUCUGGGACUUUCUUAGUAUCUUAUUUUUUAUUGAUAUCUAAUAUAAUCCCACUUUGAUAAGAGGACAUUAUAUGUAAAAUUUAACUUUUAAGAGUUAUUGACACUUACUUUAAAUACCUGUAUAUGAUUUUGAUUGGUAUGUGUUCUGUGUACAGAAUAUUGAGUGUAAUAUCCUACAAAUGGUAAUUUUAUGUUCGUUGUCCAAAGGUGAUUGAUAAUAUUGUUCAGAUUUGCUGUGGCUGUUGUAGAAUGAAUAGUAGUCCCAAAAGAUGUCCAUGACCUAAUCCCCAGAACCUGUGAAUAUGUUACCUUACAGGGUGAAAUUGUAGAUCUGAUUAAAUUAAGUAUUUUGAGAUGAGGUGCUUAUCCUGUAUUAUCUGGGUUUGUUCAAUAUAAUCAGAAAGCUCCACACAAAAAGACAUAAGAGCCCAGGGAAAUGGUGCACACCUGUAAUCCCAGCACUUGGGAGGCUGAGGCAGGAGAAUCGCCAGGACUUCAAGGCCAGCCUGGGCUACAUAGUGAGUUCAAGGCCAGUCUGGACUACAGAGCAAGAUCCUGUCUGAAAAACAAAAACAAACAAAAUGUAUAAGAAGGUCAAAGACAGAAGAGCUGGGAAAAUGGAAGCAGAGGUUGGAAUGAUGGGAACUGAAGGCACAGGAAGAGGCCUCAAGCCCAAGGAUGCAAGGAUCUUCCAAAACAGACUUGCAAAAGAAGUGCUCUUUUGGCUUAGUGAAGCUGAUUUCAAACUUCUGACCUCUGGAAUUAUGAUAGAAUGAAUUUCCAGGGUGUCCAUGUAUGUUUGUUUUGUUGUAUCAGAAACUGAAUCCAGGGCCUUCACACUGAGCUACAUUUAUAGGCCUUUUUUAUUUUUUUU